rnacentral:lncRNA from 1 species
ACACCCAAAUAAAUGACAUCACUAUUUAGCCCUCAUAUGUUGAAACAAUCAAUCAAAUCUCAAUCGCAAAUUCACAAUUUCCAGUCGUCCAUCGUAGCAUCCGAAAUCUUCAGCCCCUUAAUUUUCGCUGCCCACUGAAGAAAAAAUUCACCAUUACAGGUUUGAUAUUAUGUCUAUGAAUUGGGUUCAGCGCAAAAUCUACCUUUACAAUGUCACUUUUGGACUAUACAUGUUGGACGCAUGGGAGCGUUAUCUGUUCAAUGCUUUGGUUCUUGUCUUGAUGUGGUUCAUAUUCUACAACGGGUACCGGAACCUUAAUGAACUCUGCAAAAGGUAUAUAUGGUGAAGUUUAAGCCAAGAAUUGACUUGAAGAAGAACAAGAAUUUGAAGUCUAUUGCAUCUUUUGUUUAUUCAUAUAAUCAGACCAAGAAAUAUGUUCUGAGUAAGAACACCACAGUCGAAUCCAUGAGUGUCUGGUUGUUGUAGCUUGCAGUGUAUGUACAUUUUUCCGUCUUGUUUUUAAAGUUUUUAAUUCAUUGUUGGGUGAGUUAGUAACAAUAUUUGUUUCAAUAUUCUCUCUUUUUAAGGGAAAAUUAUGAAAUGGCCAUUUUGACCAAUGUUUGUACGUAAAUAGCCAUUUUGACCGACCUUUUAAAGCCAAAACCGCACCGUUUGGGCUAUGUAAGUUCAUGUUGCAUCUUUUGAUUGAGUUAUACUUUCAUGUAAUCAAUUGUAUGAUUGGUUAUAUUUUUAAAAAGUUGGCCAAAAUGACAAGUUAAGUUA